rnacentral:rRNA from 1 species
AUGCGACCGCCGAAGAAACACCAGCACGUACGCAACGCACAAAGAAGGAAGGAAAAGGGGGGCAAAAAAACAACAUCGAGUCCGUACAAUCGGAUACCGAGCGCGGCCGGCGGUUCGCCCCCGUUCCCAAAUCCCGGCGAGGGCGGUCGGUCGGACGGAGAGGAGAUGCGGGCCCGCACGGCGGACCACCUCGAGGCGCUCUCCCUCGAGAUCGAGCGCAAGCUGCACAAGGCUCUGAAUUCCAACUCGCAGCGCCUCAAGCUGCUGCAGCAGCUGUUCGCCGAUAUCGCGCUCAAGGUCGACGACCGCGCUCGAGAUAAGAUUUUAAGCACCAAUAAUGAGGGAAUCGCUCCAUUAGAUGAACGCGAAGACGGCCAUUUGUGUUUCUAUGAGAUUCUUGCAAAUCACUAUGUGAAAGUCCCUCAAAGUGGGAGGCGUAUACUUGAGUUGAUAGUGCAACUCUGGAGCCAAUCCUUUGCAGCAAACAUAUUUGCGCUUCUUUUUCACAGAUGGUUGUUUGAAGUCCCUCUUGAGGGGAAGGAGGUAUCACUAAGAUACAGCUCUGCUCUUGUCCAAGGAGCUACUAACGUUUUUUGGAUUGACAUUCAAACCAAUACAAGGUACUUCCUCCCAUUGUAUCAUUAUCUCCUUGAAGAAGUCGCUUUAGUUCCAGAUCAACUCAUUAAGAUAUCACCACAGGCUGGUAGAAAUCUAUUCUGCCUCCUCUCCAGAUUCAUGCUGUUCUAUGAUCAGGAUCACUUGCUUACAAGUUUUCUUGGGCAUUUCCCUGCUUUUCCAAAUUCUUUCUUGGUUGGUGGAGCUGCAGAUUACUUUGUGAUUGAACUCACCGAUCAGCUCCAGAAGCUAAAAGUGGAGCCAGUACUGCUGCACUACCUUUCCCGCAUGACCAUACUUCAAGGCUGGGAGUUGAGGAUGAGUACAAGCACUAGACUGAAGUCAUGCCUGUAUAGCUUCACAUCUCCUGGAGGCCCUGCCUAUCCAACAAGAACCGUCCGGCAUGCAGCCUGGAAUACGUUGGAUUUACUUUUUCCUGUGGGUCGCUAUCCAAGGCACGUGAUAAGUCUGUUCUUUCGGCUGCUCUAUCCCUGGUAUUGGCCUUCCUCUUGCUGGAACUUCGUCAUGACCUGCGUGAGCACCAUCUACUACUACAUCCUGAAUCUGCUCGUCUCAAUUUGGGAGAACAUGAGGAGGCGCGACCAUCAAAGGAUGCACAGAGAAUGA